rnacentral:lncRNA from 1 species
GCGAGAGCAGAGCCUCAGAUCUCGGGGGAGUGACUCCGGGUUUCCAAGCAGAAGCUCCGGAGCGCAGGUUCGCGAGGUGAGUGAUUCUACUAUCAGCUCCUCCCUACAGGAAACACAUUCCAGAUUUCUUUGGAUGUCAUUGAUUUUCCUGUGAAUCAGCAGAAGACCUAGAGGGGCUUGGAGCUACAUAUUGAAGACAAUGUCUGGAAGCUUCUACUUUGUAAUUGUUGGCCACCAUGAUAAUCCAGUUUUUGAAAUGGAAUUUUUGCCACCUGGGAAAGCAGAAUCCAAAGAUGAUCACCGUCAUCUGAACCAGUUUAUAGCUCAUGCUGCUCUUGACCUUGUGGAUGAAAAUAUGUGGCUUUCUAACAACAUGUACUUAAAAACUGUGGACAAAUUUAAUGAGUGGUUUGUGUCAGCAUUUGUCACUGCAGGGCAUAUGAGAUUUAUUAUGCUUCAUGAUGUGAGGCAAGAAGAUGGAAUAAAGAACUUCUUUACUGAUGUCUAUGAUUUGUAUAUAAAGUUUGCAAUGAAUCCAUUUUAUGAACCCAAUUCUCCUAUUCGAUCAAGUGCAUUUGACAGAAAAGUUCAGUUUCUUGGGAAGAAACACCUUUUAAGCUAAAUGGAGAAACUCUGCAAUAAGCUGUAUCAUCGUGGGGUGUGCUCAGGAGUGUGUGUUCUGUAAGUAAUUUGAAAUUGCCUGGAAAACGUUCCCUUAAAAUUGUACAUUGUUUUCAUAUUGACUGUCAUUAGCAUUGAUAUUUGCUUGUGGACAAUGUUAUUUACAAACAGUUCUGUACCAGUAAUUUUGAACACUUUUAUUUAUUUAAAAGCUUGAGAAGACUCUUGCCUUUCCUAAGAUAAUUUGAUAUUAAUUUAUUAAUUCAAAAGCAUAUUAUGUCAUAGUUAAUAUUUGUUAGAAUGAUUUAAGACUGAAAAGUUCUGGAGAUGAAUGAAAUUGAGUUAUUUACACAUUUAGAGAUGUUCUUUUAAAAUGCAUAGUACACUGCAGUACCAAGAAGCUGAAGCAGAAAGCCCAUGCCAGUGCUACCCGCUUGCCUCCCUCCACCAGAGGCUGUGAAUAAUCACCCGGCUGUAACUCUAAACCCCUAGACCUAUAUAUGCUGGACCAGUUCCAGGCCAUGGCAAAGUAUGUUGCCUCUGUCACCUUAUAUUCUAGUGUUUCCUUUCUCUUAGUAAACUAAAGGUUUACUUUAUUUAAACUUGUUAAUAUCUGUAUUUGAAAAAAUGUUAUAAUACUGAUUGGGUAUUGCUAAUAAAAGCUUGGGUUAUACUGACACUUGCACUUAACUAACCUUUUUGCUAUCUAUAUACAGGAUGCGAGGUGGCAGAUGUGGCCUCUUGUCUUAGAUAUGGUGGUGUUACAGUAGUAGAUAUGCAUGAAAAAGCAAACCAGAUUUUCAUGUGUACACUGGAAAAAUUUCAUUCUAACAUUUGAGUAAGCACUUCUAAACUUUCUUGUAUUCUUUGGUGACAUUGUUACUAUCACUUUUUUUUAUUUCUUAAAUAAAGAUUUAUAUCCAAGAA